rnacentral:rRNA from 1 species
AUUCCGGUUGAUCCUGCCGGAGGCCAUUGCUAUCGGAAUCCGAUUUAGCCAUGCUAGUCGCACGGGUCAGACCCGUGGCGAACAGCUCAGUAACACGUGGCCAAACUGCCCUGUGGACAGGGAUAAUCUCGGGAAACUGAGGCUAAUCCCCGAUAGGGCUUCCAUCUUGGAGUGGAGGAAGUCCGAAACGUUGCGCUGCGGCACCACAGGAUGUGGCUGCGGCCGAUUAGGUAGACGGUGGGGUAACGGCCCACCGUGCCAGUAAUCGGUACGGGUGAUGAGAGUCAGAGCCCGGAGACGGUAUCUGAGACAAGAUACCGGGCCCUACGGGGCGCAGCAGGCGCGAAACCUUUACACUGCACGACAGUGCGAUAGGGGGAUUCCGAGUGCGAGGGCAUACAGUCCUCGCUUUUCUGGACCGUAAGGAGGUCCAAGAAUAAGGGCUGGGCAAGACCGGUGCCAGCCGCCGCGGUAAUACCGGCAGCCCGAGUGAUGGCCGAUAUUAUUGGGCCUAAAGCGUUCGUAGCUGGCCGGACAAGUCUGUUGGGAAAUCCACGCGCUCAACGCGUGGGCGUCCAGCGGAAACUGUCUGGCUUGGGGCCGGAGGACUCGAGGGGUACGUCCGGGGUAGGAGUGAAAUCCCGUAAUCCUGGACGGACCACCGGUGGCGAAAGCGCCUCGAGAGGACGGACCCGACAGUGAGGAACGAAAGCCAGGGUCUCGAACCGGAUUAGAUACCCGGGUAGUCCUGGCCGUAAACAAUGUCUGCUAGGUGUGGCACAGGCUACGAGCCUGUGCUGUGCCGCAGGGAAGCCGUGAAGCAGACCGCCUGGGAAGUACGUCCGCAAGGAUGAAACUUAAAGGAAUUGGCGGGGGAGCACUACAACCGGAGGAGCCUGCGGUUUAAUUGGACUCAACGCCGGACAUCUCACCGGCACCGACAACAGUAACGACGGUCAGGUUGAUGACCUUACUCGAGCUGUUGAGAGGAGGUGCAUGGCCGCCGUCAGCUCGUACCGUGAGGCGUCCUGUUAAGUCAGGCAACGAGCGAGACCCGCAUCCUUAGUUGCCAGCAACACCACUGGUGGUUGGGUACACUAAGGAGACUGCCGCUGCCAAAGCGGAGGAAGGAACGGGCAACGGUAGGUCAGUAUGCCCCGAAUGUGCCGGGCAACACGCGGGCUACAAUGGUCGGGACAAUGGGAUGCUACCCCGAGAGGGGGCGCUAAUCCCCAAACCCGGUCGUAGUUCGGAUUGAGGGCUGAAACCCGCCCUCAUGAAGCUGGAUUCGGUAGUAAUCGCGUGUCAGAAGCGCGCGGUGAAUACGUCCCUGCUCCUUGCACACACCGCCCGUCAAAGCACCCGAGUGAGGUCCGGAUGAGGCCCAGUUCCUGGGUCGAAUCUGGGCUUCGCAAGGGGGCUUAAGUCGUAACAAGGUAGCCGU